CAAGACCUUGCGCUUUUGGAGCGGCCGAUGUCUGAUUAGCUAGUUGGUGAGGUAAAGGCUUACCAAGGCGUCGAUCAGUAGCUGGUCUGAGAGGACGACCAGCCACACUGGGACUGAGACACGGCCCAGACUCCUACGGGAGGCAGCAGUGGGGAAUUUUGGACAAUGGGGGAAACCCUGAUCCAGCCAUGCCGCGUGAGUGAAGAAGGCCUUCGGGUUGUAAAGCCCUUUCAGCCGGAACGAAACGGUCACAGCUAAUACCUGUGACUACUGACGGUACCGGAAGAAGAAGCACCGGCUAACUACGUGCCAGCAGCCGCGGUAAUACGUAGGGUGCGAGCGUUAAUCGGAAUUACUGGGCGUAAAGCGUGCGCAGGCGGUUUUGUAAGUCAGAUGUGAAAUCCCCGGGCUUAACCUGGGAACU
rnacentral:rRNA from 1 species